GAUGAACGCUGGCGGCGUGCCUAAUACAUGCAAGUCGAGCGAAUGGAUUAAGAGCUUGCUCUUAUGAAGUUAGCGGCGGACGGGUGAGUAACACGUGGGUAACCUGCCCAUAAGACUGGGAUAACUCCGGGAAACCGGGGCUAAUACCGGAUAACAUUUUGAACCGCAUGGUUCGAAAUUGAAAGGCGGCUUCGGCUGUCACUUAUGGAUGGACCCGCGUCGCAUUAGCUAGUUGGUGAGGUAACGGCUCACCAAGGCAACGAUGCGUAGCCGACCUGAGAGGGCGAUCGGCCACACUGGGACUGAGACACGGCCCAGACUCCUACGGGAGGCAGCAGUAGGGAAUCUUCCGCAAUGGAUGAAAGUCUGACGGAGCAACGCCGCGGGAGUGAUGAAGGCUUUCGGGUCGUAAAACUCUGUUGUUAGGGAAGAACAAGUGCUAGUUGAAUAAGCUGGCACCUUGACGGUACCUAACCAGAAAGCCACGGCUAACUACGUGCCAGCAGCCGCCGUAA
rnacentral:rRNA from 1 species